AGAUUGAACGCUGGCGGCAGGCCUAACACAUGCAAGUCGAGCGGUAGAGAGGUGCUUGCACCUCUUGAGAGCGGCGGACGGGUGAGUAAUGCCUAGGAAUCUGCCUAGUGGUGGGGGAUAACGUUCGGAAACGGACGCUAAUACCGCAUACGUCCUACGGGAGAAAGCGGGGGACCUUCGGGCCUCGCGCCAUUAGAUGAGCCUAGGUCGGAUUAGCUAGUUGGUGAGGUAAUGGCUCACCAAGGCGACGAUCCGUAACUGGUCUGAGAGGAUGAUCAGUCACUACGUAGGAACUG
rnacentral:rRNA from 1 species